UAUAUAUGUAGAUACAUAUCGGAGAGUCUUCAGUACACGGCCGUUUAUGUGCUGGACACGUGAUGUCCAAAUUGAUGGACGGCGUUAGUGAAUAGGGGUUAGUGCGCGGAAGACCAAAAACUGGGAACGCAGUAGAUCAAAGUUUUACCAUAACCAAAUGUUCCUCCAUACCUUCGAAUCGAAUUCGAUCUGGACCCUCUCUCUCUCCAGGAACAACAGUCAUUCGCUUCCUCCAGAAUCCUCAAGAGCUCUCCACUUCUCGCGCAUCAACCCUCUUCUCGGCUCUCUCCUCCCCAACUUCAUCAUUGUCAGCGGAGUUCCCAACUCCGAUUCGUGGCAGCUCGGUCCUCCUCUCCCUCUCGUUGGAUCCGGACAACUACGACAUAGUAGUGGGGAUAACAACGGUGGCUCGUAGCCUUGAAUGGUGCGGUGACGGUCAUCGAGCUUCUGCAGCAGCCUUUUAAGGAAGAAUUUGGAGAUGAAUAUCAGGAAAAUGGUUACUCCUGAGGCAAAGGUUAAAUGUAGAAGGUUGAUGCCGGAUAAUCUGGUUAAAUUUGGUGAUUCAGUCCUUAGGCAUGAGUUUAAAGUGAACGUUGGUGGGAAGUUCCCAUAAUGUGGCAGAACAGGGUGGGCUGACUAUACGAGCUGGCUGCAAUCCGAAAGAUUUCAAAGAAACAGUUUUAGGUUUGUCAAAUGCAAAGCCAAAUGCAAUUGAUGAAAUGGGAUUUGGCCCAGUGCAGAGGCUAGGGUGCACCAAACUUAACCGUGAGAUAUGCCAAAUAUUGUAAAGUUUAAGUUCUUGAUUACAAGCUCAAUCCUAGUAUAGAAAUCUUGUAUGUACUGUGAAUUUUUGUAUAAAAUGGGAAUCCUGUUGUUGAUGAAUUCCUUGUAUGGAAAUAGAAAUUGUGUAUCAGUUGCUUGUAUCCUGUAUAAAUUACUUCCUUGCAUAGAGAUCCUGUAUAAAUGGAACCCUUAUAUAGAAUUUAAUAGUUUGACCAUAGUUCAUAGUUGAACUGGCACACCAAAA